UUUCUUACCCGACUUCCUCUCUGUUUGGGCGUGUGGUUCCUAUUUUUCUCCCCCAAAUCUCUCCCUUUUCUUUCAGUUAUCUCUCACCAGUUUUUGCUCUCAACUUCUUGGCAAAACCGUGCUUAUCUCCCUCUUGCACAGCUUCUCCUCUGGUGACCUCUAGGUGCUGCAAUUUUGGAGUUUUUCAGACCUGUUUUCGUGCUCAAAGCCACCCCCAAGCCGGCAUUUCUUUUUCCCUCUAGAUCUCUCCUCUCUCUCGCUUUCUUUUCUGGAUAAUUAUUUACUUUUUUCUUCUUCUUCUUUUCUUUUCUUUCUUUCUUCUUCUUACUGGUAGAUUUUCUUUCAAUUUCAGAUGUUCCUCUCCCUCUUUUGCGUCGUUUCCUCUUCCACUCAGUUUCUAUUUUUUCUUUGUAAUUUUUCUGCAAAGUUAUUUUUUUUCUAUUGCAACCCGUGCUUCUACUUUGUUUUGCUUGAGGUUUUAGUGUUACAAUUUGAAUAGAUUUUCAACAGUGUCACUUGUUUUUGUUUGGAUAUAAAUAGUAAAAAAUAUCAAUACGUGCGGAGUAAAAUUUAAGAAGAUUUGACCAUUUUAUUUUGUAGAGUUGUGGACAGAGAAAGGUUGAUGUGGUUAUUAUUUAUUUGGUUGAGUUGGUGGUUGUUUGAGUUUUGGAUUGCAGUAUUGGUGUUAAUAUUUCUAUUAAUUGAGUUUGAUGUUGGUUGAUGGGUAUAUAGGUUAGUAUUGAAGUGGGUAUAUGGUAGAUUAAGUUGAAGUGUAUGCUGUUCGGGAAUUAUUAUGUGGUUGUUUGGUUUGUAUUAAUGUCCUAAUAUUUGAUGUGGAAUUAUGGAUUUUAAUUAAUUAGAUCGAAGUGACGAUUGUAGGUCUUUAACACUUAGUGUAUAUUUAUUUUUAUGAAUAGGUGACGAGGCUAAUAGAGGUCAAAUUCAAGGCAUUGACAAUACACUACAGGAAUCAGGUUCACGUGAUAUAUUUGGUACCAACAUGAUAUGAUAUGAGUGCAACUACUUUGGAAACAAAGUGGUCUUUAUGUGUUCUUUCGUGUGUACACACUCGGGGCUCCGAGAUUGAAAAAGGAAAAAUUUCACAAUAUGAUACUGCCUGAUAAUAUGGAUGGCACAACUAAGGAUCAAUAAUAGAUAUUUGUGAAUGUGAAUGUGGAUGGUUCAGAUGAUGGGAAUAGAGUGUUGGAUUCUUUAGGCUAGUGUUAAUAGAAGGACUUUCUGUUGUUCCUUAGAGCUGUUAUUGUUUCUAGACUUAGUAAGACUUAAGGAUUUUUUUUUUCUUUCCGGUUGUUUUGUUGGGACUAAGGAGAAAUUGUGGACCUUUUGAUUUAUGUUAUUCAUUGAAAUGACUAUAUGGACAUCAUUAAGUGUUAGUUGUGAAAAAUAUGAUACUGUUUAUUA